rnacentral:rRNA from 1 species
UGGGGAAUUGUUCGCAAUGGGCGCAAGCCUGACGACGCAACGCCGCGUGGAGGAUGAAGGUCUUCGGAUUGUAAACUCCUGUUGCCCGGGACGAACCGCUCCGACCUAACACGUCGGAGUCUGACGGUACCGGGUGAGGAAGCCCCGGCUAACUCUGUGCCAGCAGCCGCGGUAAUACAGCGGGGGCUAGCGUUGUUCGGAAUUACUGGGCGUAAAGGGCGCGUAGGUGGCCUGCUAAGUCGAACGUGAAAUCCCCGGGCUCAACCCGGGAACUGCGUCCGAGACUGGCAGGCUCGAAUCCGGGAGAGGGAUGUGGAAUUCCAGGUGUAGCGGUGAAAUGCGUAGAUAUCUGGAGGAACACCGGUGGCGAAGGCGGCAUCCUGGACCGGUAUUGACGCUGAGGCGCGAAAGCCAGGGGAGCAAA